GUGGAAUUGUGGUUGCUAGGCAGCUGAUCUUAAUCUAGGAAGAAGAUUCUAGAUCAUCCAGGUGAACUCAAUGUUGUCAUGAGAAGAAUCUGUGAGAAGGACCCAGCUGAGGCUGGCUUUUCUCCGUUUAAGAUGAAGGAAGUGGUCCAGGAGCCAAGAGAUAAAGUAUGAAAUAUGGAUAUCCUCAAGAGACGAGUAAAGAGAUUCUUUCUUAGAGCUUCCUGCAAGGAAUCCAGCCCUUCCAACACCUGGUUUCAGCUCGUUCAUCUUGUGUCAGACUUCUGCAAAACUGUGGAUUCUUUACAAGCUGAGCUACCAGGGAAACCAUAGUGAAACCCAGAAACUGUCACACCACACGUAAGAAGCAAGGACAAGAUGAUUAUUCAGCUUUCUGACCUCUGAGUCCAGUGCCUUGCCACACUUAGAUUCAUUUUAGAAAAAGACAUAAUGAGAUGUAUUUCAUAUCAUUCUAAUUUUUAUUUUAUAUAC
ensembl:lncRNA